rnacentral:lncRNA from 12 species
AGAGAGCAUAAGCUAUGAGACAAGCUAGAGCUGAUGAAGGAGAAAAAUAAGUGGAUUGUGAAAGGGUGAUCGAAGACAUGAUACCUACCAGUAAUAAAAGGAUGGGUACAGUUCUAAACUUACCACUAUACCAUACUGUGCUAUUAAAAACCUUGUGAGAGAGCAGAGAAAUAAUAGAGUACCUAUGCUACAUGAGCUGGGGACAGCAGUAGCAGCAAAAGGUAACUCCUAGAAACUAACUCAGAAAUCAUUCAGUGGAGUUGUGUCGGGCCAAGCAAUCUGGUAUUGAGACUGUACAGCAAUCAUUUGUCCCCAAGCUGCUGUUUUCCAUGGUGAGGAAACGAUUCUUGCAAGUGUGCAAUGAAAA